GAUCCUGCCUCAGGAUGAACGCUAGCUACAGGCUUAACACAUGCAAGUCGAGGGGAAACGACAUCGAAAGCUUGCUUUUGAUGGGCGUCGACCGGCGCACGGGUGAGUAACGCGUAUCCAACCUGCCCAUCACUUGGGAAUAACCUUGCGAAAGUAGGACUAAUGCCCAAUGAUAUCCCACGAAGGCAUCCGAAUGGGAUUAAAGAUUUAUCGGUGAUGGAUGGGGAUGCGUCUGAUUAG
rnacentral:rRNA from 1 species